rnacentral:lncRNA from 1 species
UCAAGUUUGGGAUCACACCAGCCUUUGUUCUUCAAGAGGUAUGUGUUGAUCCUUAUGUUUUCUGAUGUUUUAAGCAAGUUUUAUGGAGGGAGAAGGGAGUUAUGCAUGAGUUUUUGCAUGAGUUGUGCAUGUGAGGGUUUAGGGACCCUUUGUGCCUUUGUUUGUUGUUUGAGUUGUUUUUGGGGUUUUGAGCUUGUUCUAAGCCCCUAUGUGUUAGUAGACGUGUUUAUGCAUGUUGAGUGAGGUUUGGGGGAAGUUGAGUAUGAGGUGAGCGAGGUUCUGCCUAACUGGCGAACCCAGCUUCGGCCGCCGAAAGAGGGUUCGGCCGCCGAACGUGUUGAGGAGGUGGUUUCGGCUGCCUAAACCUGCCCCCGAAGGAUUGGACUUUCGUCUCUGGAGGGAAGGUUCGGCCGCCGAAGGUGCCGCCGAAGGAAGGAGACUUUCGUCUCUGGAGUGUGGUUUGGCUCCCGAACCAUGCCCCCGAAAGGGUUCGGCCGCCGAAAGAGGAGAUUCGGCCGCCGAAAGUAUGUGAGUUUCGGCUCUGUUCAGGACAUUCGGCCGCCGAACCUGCCGCCGAAAGUGUCCUGUCCAGCCUUCUUUUGCAUGCUUUAUGUGAUGGUUUUCAGAGGUUCAGAGGGGUUUAUAGGGGAUUGUUUAAGAGGGAUUCUGAGUAUGUUUGACACCUCAUUCGAGUCCAUUUGCUUCAGGAUUGGACCCGAGAGAUCGAGGAGGUCAUCAGUGUUAGAGAGUUCAGAGUCAGUUCAGUUUCUGCUAGAAGAGCAGAGGUGAGUAGAACGAAACUUAAUCUUGUUUUUUUAACUACAGACACAGACUGUAUGAGCAUAGUUCAUGCAUCAUGGAUGCUAUGAUUUAUAGUAGGGUGAUUUGCAUUAGAAUCACGAAGUUGUUGCAUUGCAUAUUAUGUGAUCAGAGAUUAGGUGGACCCAGGCGACUCCAAUAGCCUAAGCUUCGGCUCCUGUCAUUGUGUCAGGUCAGUGUUGACAGAGGGUAUUUUUGGGGUCAUGUCUACCUUAGUGAGGAUUGGACCAAGGCGACUUCAAUAGCCCGUCGAGGGAGUUUUGGGGUCAUGUCUAAUCCAAGAUAUAUUGAGAUGUUUGUGUUGUGAUGCAUUUUCAUAGCGUAUGAAUGAACUGUUUUCAGUGUUUCUACUCACUGGGCUUUAGUAGCUCAUCCCUUUCCCCUAACCCCAGUGUUGCAGGUACAGAGUAGCUGGGAAGUGAGAAGCAGCAGAGUGUCGAUUGCAGGAUUGCCUAUGUGUAAUAGAAUAGUGGACAUGAUGUAUAUUAAAGAGAUAUUUGUCAAAGAUGUACUAGAUAGUCAGUUGAGUUGUAUAUGAGAUAAGAAUGUGCUUUUGCCUAUAGUAGUGUAUGUUGAUCCCUUGAGUAUAUGCAUGUAUCCUGUUUUUCACGUUUAGUCAAACCAGACUGCAUAGAUGUUGUGUGAUGAUAACCCCAGUGAAGUAUAACUGUGAGGGAAGAUAGGGUUUAAUUCCCUUGACCCAAAGACCAGUGCAGAGGAAAGACCAGGUUUGAUUCCUGUGAUCCAUAGAAAGGCCAAUAGAGAAGACCAGGUUUGAUUCCUGUGACUCUAUGGUAGCCAAGUUAACUUAUGAUAUGCUGAUCCUUACAGAGUGGGUUCUAUGUUUCAGCGCAUAGUGCAUGGAGGUUACUUGGUAGAGCAUCACUGGUGUAUUACAGAUAGCCCUGAGGGCUAGUUCAGAUUAGUAUGUCUGAGCUUUUGGUUCCUAUGAUUGGACCUCCAGAGAGUGUUUUACAGGUUAAGUCUGGUUGUGUUACAGACAAGUUGUAACAGUUAAUAGUCCAGUCGGAUCAUGUAUGGGAUUUUAACAGAUACACAGAGUUCAGGAUAGGCUUACUACGGGUCUAGGCGGCCUUAAGCCGAUCUGGAUCCUAGUGCCGAGCAGUUUGGGCCGUUACAAAGAGGGUACCG